UCCUACGGGACGCAGCAGUGGGGAAUAUUGCACAAUGGGGGAAACCCUGAUGCAGCGAUGCCGCGUGGAGGAAGAAGGUUUUCGGAUUGUAAACUCCUUUUAUCAGGGACGAUAAUGACGGUACCUGAAGAAAAAGCUCCGGCUAACUACGUGCCAGCAGCCGCGGUAAUACGUAGGGAGCGAGCGUUAUCCGGAUUUAUUGGGUUUAAAGGGUGCGUAGGCGGGUUAUCAAGUCAGCGGUAAAAUCGUGGAGCUCAACUCCAUCCAGCCGUUGAAACUGAUGAUCUUGAGUGGGCGAGAAGUAU
rnacentral:rRNA from 1 species